GGAGACUGCUGGUCCUAGCCUAGUUCAGUACAGUAUAUGUUGUGAGCGUGCUUCAGAUCUCCGGAGAUAGCACGGUACGCUGUGUCCAGCCCAGAGGUGAAAGCCAUCCAAAGCAGAGUAACUGUGCUUUGUGUCCAAGUUGAUACCUGUGGAGAGGAAAGGAAAGAGAGAUUGAUAUCUGUGGAGAGAAAAGGAGAGAGAGUGAAUAACACGAGGAGAGACCGAGGGAAACCUGUACUUACGCCGCUGCCUGUGGAGAAAGAGAAAGCGAGUGAGCACCCAAGGAACGAACUGUGUGAAC
ensembl:lncRNA